rnacentral:pre_miRNA from 1 species
GAGACACCCUUAUGGGGCAAGACUUGUUCUGUGGGCUUUGGUGCUCAUUGAGUCUGCCCCUUGAGUGUGUCACU